rnacentral:rRNA from 1 species
GUGGACCCACCUGAAUCCAUCCCGAACUCAGAAGUGAAACGCUGUAAUGCCGAUGGUAGUGUGGGGUUUCCCCAUGUGAGAGUAGGGCACCGCCAGGU